rnacentral:rRNA from 1 species
UACGUAGGGUGCGAGCGUUGUCCGGAAUUAUUGGGCGUAAAGGGCUCGUAGGCGGUUUGUCGCGUCGGGAGUGAAAACCAGGUGCUUAACACCUGGCUUGCUUUCGAUACGGGCAGACUAGAGGUAUGCAGGGGAGAACGGAAUUCCUGGUGUAGCGGUGAAAUGCGCAGAUAUCAGGAGGAACACCGGUGGCGAAGGCGGUUCUCUGGGCACGACCUGACGCUGAGGAGCGAAAGUGUGGGGAGCGAACAGG